rnacentral:lncRNA from 1 species
AGAAUUACACUUUUUAAAUUAUAUUUAAUAAGGUAUAUGCAUUUGUAAGUAUUUUUUUAAUUAUAAUUUCAUAAUUCAUUUUAGGAACGGCGCGCGAGACUUGAUCUUUUAAUUGCGAGUUUUGCUCAAGAAAGGUUAAGGUGGGGUUAUAACGUUGCAUUUAACAUUUAUCCUUAUUAUACGUUUUACUCAAUUUAUAUGUGUGAGAAGCAGGCAGAGCCUCCGGGCUAUGAGACAGAAAGUUAUAGCCUACGGGUUAUAUGAGACAGAAAGUUAUAGCCUACGGGUUAUAUGAGACAGAAAGUUAUAGCCUACGGGUUAUAUGAGAAAGAAAGUUAUAGCCUACGGGCUAUAUGAGACAGAAAGCUAUAGCCUACGGGUUAUAUGAGAAAGAAAGUUAUAGCCUACGGGUUAUAUGAGAAAGAAAGUUAUAGCCUACGGGCUAUAUGAGACAGAAAGUUAUAUAGCCUUCGGGCUAAGAGACAGAAAGUUAUUGCUUUCGGGCAAUAUGAAAGAGCAGACAAUGUUAUUUGCACUUAUAUUUUGUUGUGAUUCUUAUAAUAUGGAUAAAUGCACCCCACUGAGUUUAUUGUACUCACCCCAAAACAAUAUUAUUUUCAGGAGAUGGCUCGGGCGAUGCGAGGCAGGGCGAAUGGUGGUCAAGAUAAAAGAAGAAAUAAUAUUUUAUUUUCAAU